AUGUGGAGCUUCCAGAACCCGUGGCUGUGGAGCUACAGGAUCUCCCGGGGAGAGCCCCCAGGCUACAGUAAUUUGAAUAGUCUUCAAUUUGCUCUGAACGCACCGAGAUCGACUAAACAACCUCAGCUACUCUUUGGAGAGCCUGUGGUAGAAGCUUGUAUUGAAAAUAGUGCAAGCUGCACUGACAUCAGCAGAGAACCCCAGUUUCUGGAAGGAAUGCACCUGAAAUACAAUGAAAAAGCUGCCAAAAAGGGAGCAUAUGUCAUUGGAAGCUGUGGCUUUGACUCUAUACCAGCCAAUAUGGGAGUACUGUACACCAGAGAGAAGUCAAAAGGUACCUUAACUGUUUUCUGAAGGUGAAAACUGGGCCUGAGGGUUCUUGUACACAUGAUGGGACCUGGAAGUCAGCUCUUUCUGACCUUGCAGAUCAAGACAACCUGAGGAAGCUUCGAAAAAAGACAGGAUAUGCCCCUGUUCCAGCAGUUGGUGCAAAACUUAAAAGAAGAGGACUUGUGUUUUACAAUCAGGAAUUCAAGGAGUACCCUAUUCCAUUCAUGAGAUCUGAUGUUUCUGUUGUGAAACGGUCUCAGCGUUAUUUCCACAUAAACUUGCAGGAAACCCCUGUGCAGUGUGGUGCUCAUGUGAAUACAAGUGGUCUUGGCUCUGUUAUCGAGCUGAUGUUUGCUGGCAUUUUAUUUUUUCUUCCUGUGAAGUUUAGCUUCGGUAGAAAAUUUCUGAUGAAAUACCUGGAAUUUUUCUCUGCUGGACGCUUCACAAAGAAAGGAUCAAUCCAGAAACAGAUGGAUGGAACUACUUUUACAAUGACUUUUUUUGGUGAGGGUUACAGUGAGGGACAACAUCCCCAGAAUGGCAAACCAAGUGUAAAGAUCCGCAACGAAGUGAAAGGACCAGAGCCUGGCUAUGUUGCUACACCAAUUGCAAUGGUUCAAGCAGCUGCAUCUCUUCCGGAAGAUGAAGCUUGUCUGCCUAAAGAGGGUGGUGUGUAUUCUCCAGGAGCUGCCUUCUCCAAAACAAAACUGAUUGAUCACCUCAACAAACGUGGCGUUGAGUUCUCUGUUAUUAGCAAGCCUGAAGUCAGAACAUAACUGUAUAAGCUGACACCUUCCCUAGGUCUAACUCCAAUAAAAUUAAUUUGGCUGUAAAGGCCU